rnacentral:rRNA from 1 species
GACGGAGGAUGCAAGCGUUAUCCGGAAUGAUUGGGCGUAAAGCGUCCGCAGGUGGCAGUUCAAGUCUGCUGUCAAAGACCGGGGCUUAACUUCGGAAAGGCAGUGGAAACUGAACAGCUAGAGUAUGGUAGGGGAAGAGGGAAUUCCUGGUGUAGCGGUGAAAUGCGUAGAGAUCAGGAAGAACAUCGGUGGCGAAGGCGCUCUGCUGGACCAUAACUGACACUCAGGGACGAAAGCGAGGGGAGCGAAUGGG